AUACGUAGGGGGCAAGCGUUGUCCGGAAUGACUGGGCGUAAAGGGCGCGUAGGCGGCUUUUUAAGUCUGGAGUGAAAGUCCUGCUUUCAAGGUGGGAAUUGCUUUGGAUACUGGGGAGCUUGAGUGCGGAAGAGGUAAGUGGAAUUCCCAGUGUAGCGGUGAAAUGCAUAGAGAUUGGGAGGAACACCAGUGGCGAAGGCGGCUUUCUGGACUGUAACUGACGCUGAGGCACGAAAGCGUGGGGAGC
rnacentral:rRNA from 1 species